UACGGAGGGGGCGAGCGUUAUUCGGAAUUAUUGGGCGUAAAGGGCGCGUAGGCGGCUGUACAAGUCAAAGGUGAAAUCCCUCGGCUCAACUGAGGAACUGCCUUUGAAACUGUACGGCUUGAGGCCGGGAGGGGUAGCGGAAUUCCCAGUGUAGCGGUGAAAUGCGUAGAUACUGGGAGGAACACCAGUGGCGAAGGCGGCUACCUGGACCGGUUCUGACGCUGAGGCGCGAAAGCGUGGGUAGCAAACAGGA
rnacentral:rRNA from 1 species